CCUACGGGUGGCUGCAGUGGGGAAUAUUGGACAAUGGGCGAAAGCCUGAUCCAGCCAUGCCGCGUGUGUGAAGAAGGCCUUCGGGUUGUAAAGCACUUUCAGUGGGGAAGAAAGCCUUGGGGCUAAUACCCUCGAGGAAGGACAUCACCCACAGAAGAAGCACCGGCUAACUCCGUGCCAGCAGCCGCGGUAAUACGGAGGGUGCGAGCGUUAAUCGGAAUUACUGGGCGUAAAGCGCGCGUAGGCGGUCUGAUAAGCCGGUUGUGAAAGCCCCGGGCUCAACCUGGGAACGGCAUCCGGAACUGUCAGGCUAGAGUGCAGGAGAGGAAGGUAGAAUUCCCGGUGUAGCGGUGAAAUGCGUAGAGAUCGGGAGGAAUACCGGUGGCGAAGGCGGCCUUCUGGACUGACACUGACGCUGAGGUGCGAAAGCGUGGGUAGCAAACAGGAUUAGAUACCCUAGUAGUC
rnacentral:rRNA from 1 species